GAUCCUCUGGAUUCUCACCAUGGCCUGGGCCCCUCUGCUCCUCACGCUGCUCACUUACUGCAUUGGUUUCAGUUCCCAGCAGCUCCAGUCGCUGAAGGCGUCUGAGUUAGUGUCUCCUGGUGGGACCGUGACCCUUUCUUGCAGCCUGAGCAGUGGGGCCAUCAGCGAUAACAACUACCCGUUCUGGGUUCAACAGAGACUGGGGAAUGUUCCUCAGCUGAUCAUGCACAGCACGAGUACCAGGCCCUCAGGGAUCCCAGAGCGUUUCACUGGCUCCAGAUUGGGUAACACCAUGUCCUUGACCAUCACGGGGCCCUGGCCGAGGAUGAUGCUGAUUAUUACUGUUGUGUGUGGACUGGGGGUGCUUGUCACAGCGAACAUGCUCUCCAGCCAGUGA